AAAAAUUGAGGUAUUCAUACCUCUUUUUGUAUUUAAAACCUUACUCUAUAAAACCUAAAAAUUUUAUAUAAAUAAAAUUAA
rnacentral:misc_RNA from 1 species